rnacentral:rRNA from 1 species
GACGAACGCUGGCGGCGUGCUUAACACAUGCAAGUCGAACGGAAAGGCCCUGCUUUUGUGGGGUGCUCGAGUGGCGAACGGGUGAGUAACACGUGAGUAACCUGCCCUUGACUUUGGGAUAACUUCAGGAAACUGGGGCUAAUACCUGAUAGGAGCUCCUGCUGCAUGGUGGGGGUUGGAAAGUUUCGGCGGUUGGGGAUGGACUCGCGGCUUAUCAGCUUGUUGGUGGGGUAGUGGCUUACCAAGGCUUUGACGGGUAGCCGGCCUGAGAGGGUGACCGGCCACAUGGGGACUGCGAUACGGCCCAGACUCCUACGGGAGGCAGCAGAGGGGAAUAUUGCACAAUGGGCGGAAGCCUGAUGCAGCAACGCCGCGUGCGGGAUGACGGCCUUCGGGUUGUAAACCGCUUUCGCCUGUGACGAAGCGUGAGUGACGGUAAUGGGUAAAGAAGCACCGGCUAACUACGUG